rnacentral:rRNA from 1 species
GAUGAACGCUGGCGGCGUGCCUAACACAUGCAAGUCGAGCGAACAGACGCGGAGCUUGCGCCGCUGACGUUAGCGGCGGGCGGGUGAGUAACACGUGGAUAACCUACCUAUCAGACUGGGAUCACUUCGGGAAACCGGAGCUAAUCCCGGAUAAUAUAUUGAACCGCAUGGUGCAUUAGUGAAAGACGGCUUUGCCGGCGGUUAUAGAUGGAUCCGCGCCUCAUUAGCUUGUUGGUGAGGUAAUAGCUUACCACGGCUACGAUGGGUAGCCGGCCUGAGAGGGUGACCGGCCACAUUGGGACUGAGAUACGGCCCAGAAUCCUACGGGAGGCAGCAGUGGGGAAUAUUGCACAAUGGGCGGACGCCUGAUGCAGCAACGCCGCGUGCGGGAUGACGGGUUUCGGGUUGUAAACAGAUGUGGAAGGAGACGAAGCGUGAGUGACGGUAAUGGGUAAAGAAGCACCGGCUAACUACGUG